rnacentral:misc_RNA from 1 species
GAUGAAGAACGCAGUGAAAUGCGAUAAGUAAUGUGAAUUGCAGAAUUCAGUGAAUCAUCGAAUCUUUGAACGCACCUUGCACCCUUUGGAAUUUUCCAAAGGGUAUGCUCGUUUGAGUGUCAUUGUACUCUCACACUCUCCGAUCCUUUGGAUAUGGGGAGCGGUGGACUUGGGUGCUUGCUGCUUCCUUGUAGCUCACCUGAAAUGCGUCAGUGCAUCUCUUGAUUGGACAUAGUACGGCGUGAUAAGUGUCUUCGCCGGCACCUCAUAAGAGGGUGGCCGAUCGGGAGCUCUGUGCUUUCAAACCGUCUUCGGACAAUCCCUGACAACUUGACCUCAAAUCGAGUAGGACUACCCGCUGAACUUAAGCAUAUCAAUAAGCGGAGGA